UCAUGCGAAAAGCGGUCAUAAUAUAGACAGAGAAAAAUUUAAAAGCUUACCACCAAAUAUCAUUGAUCUACGGGUUAUCUUGAAUAAGCGAACGAAACAUCACGCUAUUCUUAUCUAUGAUUUUGCAUAUCGAGAUAAGAGAGCAAUUAUGUAAAAGCUUUUUCUUUAGCACAGUUAGGGCUAGAUUUGCGUUGCAGAGCUUUGACAUUAAUUGACGAGUCUGAAAGCAAUACGGCUGCUAUUUUAAGCCAAGAUUAAGAAAUAUUUAAAGAGUGCUUAAAAAUAAGUAAAAUUAAAUCCCAAACGAAUUUGCGGGAUUCAGUUAAUUGUGCUUAGUGAUUUUAUGCCAGUGCCACGUGCCAGUGCGGCUAGGACCAGAUUAUGCAAUCGGCUAGUACCAGAUUAUGCAAUCAGCUCGUAUCAGGUUAUGCAACCGAUUUGAGGUUACCUGGAAGCCGAAAUGGAUGAAUUAAUCUUUUAUGGGAUCGUAAUCUUUUAAUAUAUUUUGGAUUCGACGACAACCACCUUUUCGCUACAUGGGGAGAAAACUCUAGCGAAUUAUUUAUAAAUUUGUAACUAUUAGCAGUGUAAUAUUGUAAACAUCGGCCUGCUGAAUUUUAUACAAAGCUAUGAAUUAUUGCAUGAA